UCAGGCUUUCUUUGUAGUGUGAACCGGGUGGGUUGGUCAUCCGGUCAAUUGCUUCCCAGUCUGAUAUGACCAUACCCUGUAAAGACAUCUCUUGUUUGAGAAUGCGAGUGAGGAGGAAAGAGUUAGCAUGCAUCUUGAUCCCGUUCCAACUAGAGUAAGAAGC